CGGUAGCACAGAGAGCUUGCUCUUGGGUGACGAGUGGCGGACGGGUGAGUAAUGUCUGGGAAACUGCCCGAUGGAGGGGGAUAACUACUGGAAACGGUAGCUAAUACCGCAUAACGUCUUCGGACCAAAGUGGGGGACCUUCGGGCCUCACACCAUCGGAUGUGCCCAGAUGGGAUUAGCUAGUAGGUGGGGUAACGGCUCACCUAGGCGACGAUCCCUAGCUGGUCUGAGAGGAUGACCAGCCACACUGGAACUGAGACACGGUCCAGACUCCUACGGGAGGCAGCAGUGGGGAAUAUUGCACAAUGGGCGCAAGCCUGAUGCAGCCAUGCCGCGUGUAUGAAGAAGGCCUUCGGGUUGUAAAGUACUUUCAGUGGGGAGGAAGGCGAUGAAGUUAAUAGCUUCGUCGAUUGACGUUACCCGCAGAAGAAGCACCGGCUAACUCCGUGCCAGCAGCCGCGGUAAUACGGAGGGUGCAAGCGUUAAAUCGGAAUUACUGGGCGUAAAGCGCACGCAGGCGGUCUGUCAAGUCGGAUGUGAAAUCCCCGGGCUCAACCUGGGAACUGCAUUCGAAACUGGCAGGCUAGAGUCUUGUAGAGGGGGGUAGAAUUCCAGGUGUAGCGGUGAAAUGCGUAGAGAUCUGGAGGAAUAUCGGUGGCGAAGCGGCCUCCCUGGACAAAGACUGACGCUCAGUGCGAAAGCGUGGGGGAGCAAACAGGAUUAGAUACCCUGGUAGUCCACGCCGUAAACGAUGUCGACUUGGAAGGUUGUGCCCUUGAGGCGUGGCCUUCCUGAGCUACCGCGUUAAGUCGAACCGCCCUGGGGAGUACGGCCGCAAGGUAAAA
rnacentral:rRNA from 1 species